rnacentral:rRNA from 1 species
CCUACGGGUGGCUGCAGUGGGGAAUAUUGCACAAUGGGCGCAAGCCUGAUGCAGCCAUGCCGCGUGUGUGAAGAAGGCCUUCGGGUUGUAAAGCACUUUCAGCGGGGAGGAAGGCGGUGAGGUUAAUAACCUCAUCGAUUGACGUUACCCGCAGAAGAAGCACCGGCUAACUCCGUGCACAGCAGCCGCGGUAAUACGGAGGGUGCAAGCGUUAAUCGGAAUUACUGGGCGUAAAGCGCACGCAGGCGGUCUGUCAAGUCGGAUGUGAAAUCCCCGGGCUCAACCUGGGAACUGCAUUCGAAACUGGCAGGCUAGAGUCUUGUAGAGGGGGGUAGAAUUCCAGGUGUAGCGGUGAAAUGCGUAGAGAUCUGGAGGAAUACCGGUGGCGAAGGCGGCCCCCUGGACAAAGACUGACGCUCAGGUGCGAAAGCGUGGGGAGCAAACAGGAUUAGAUACCCCAGUAGUC